rnacentral:rRNA from 1 species
UACGGGGGGAGCAAGCGUUGUUCGGAUUUACUGGGCGUAAAGGGCGCGUAGGCGGCCACGACAAGUCACUUGUGAAAUCUCCGGGCUUAACUCGGAACGGUCAAGUGAUACUGUCGGGCUAGAGUACAGAAGGGGCAACUGGAAUUCUCGGUGUAGCGGUGAAAUGCGUAGAUAUCGAGAGGAACACCCGCGGCGAAGGCGGGUUGCUGGGCUGAUACUGACGCUGAGGCGCGAAAGCCAGGGGAGCGAACGGG